rnacentral:rRNA from 1 species
GAUGAACGCUAGCGGCAGGCCUAAUACAUGCAAGUCGAACGGGAUUGCGGUAGUAGCUUACUACUACCGCAUGAGAGUGGCGCACGGGUGCGUAACGCGUGAGCAACCUACCCAUAUCAGGGGGAUAGCCCGGCGAAAGUCGGAUUAACACCGCAUAACAUCAACACUUCGCAUGUUCAGUUGAUUAAAUAUUUAUAGCAUAUGGAUGGGCUCGCGUGACAUUGGCUAGUUGGUAGGGUAACGGCAUACCAAGGCAACGAUGUCUAGGGGCUCUGAGAGGGGACUCCACCAGAAUGGUACCGCGACACAGACCAGACUGCGACGGAAGACAGCAGAAACGAACAUAAUGCAAGAAGGGCAAGCCUAAACCAGCCACGCCGGGUACAGGAGGACUGGGAUAGGGAUUGUAAGCUGCUUUUGAAAGAGAAUAGUCCCAUUUACGAGUAGAGUGUUGAAUGUACCUGAAGAAUAAGGAUCGGCUAACUCCGUG